GUCCACGCCCUAAACGAUGAUGACUAGUUGUUGGAGGAGUUAAAUCCUUUAGUAACGCAGCUAACGCGAGAAGUCAUCCGCCUGGGGAGUACGGUCGCAAGAUUAAAACUCAAAGGAAUUGACGGGGGCCCGCACAAGCGGUGGAUGAUGUGGUUUAAUUUCGACGCAACGCGAAAACCUUAACCUACCCUUGACAUGUACGGAAGCCCGCUGAGAGGUGGGUGUGCCCGAAAGGGAGCCGUAACACAGGUGCUGCAUGGCUGUCGU
rnacentral:rRNA from 1 species